rnacentral:rRNA from 1 species
GACAGAGACCUCAAGCGUUAUCCGGAAUCAUUGGGCGUAAAGCGUACCGAUAGGUGGUUUAGAAAGUUUUGGGUAAAAGCCAGAAGCUCAACUUCUGAGUUUGCUCAAAAUACUUCUCAACUAGAGGGGCAAAGAGGUCCUUGGAACGAACGGUGUAGUAGUGAAAUGCGUUGAUAUCGUUCGGAACACCGAACGCGAAGGCAGAGGACUGGGUGCCACCUGACACUACUAGGACGAAAGCGUGGGGAGCGAAUGGG